rnacentral:lncRNA from 1 species
GGAACUGCAGAAGCACCUGAAAGCACAAUCAAUCAGAAAAGACAAAGAAUUAGGCAGAAUGUUUCUGAAGAACUGAUUGUGGGAAACAAGGAUGAACCUGUCAGAACAAGAUCAACAUUCAACGUUUCUGAAGAAACACUUUUGGGACUAGUAUCUCUGAUAGAGCUAGCAUCUUGUGAAUAAGCUCUUCAAGAUAAAGAAUGUAUUCUGGCAAUGAAGGAAGAACUUGAUCAGUUUUCCAAAAAUGAUGUUUGGGAUCUUGUAACAAG